UCCGAGUUGACCCCGGCAGUCUCCCAUAAGUCCCCGGCAUAACCCGCUGGCAACAUAGGAUAAGGGUUGCGCUCGUUGCGGGACUUAACCCAACAUCUCACGACACGAGCUGACGACAACCAUGCACCACCUGUCACAAGCCCCGUAAAGGACCCCGCAUCUCUGCGAGUUUUCAAGUGAUGUCAAGCCCAGGUAAGGUUCUUCGCGUUGCAUCGAAUUAAGCCGCAUGCUCCGCCGCUUGUGCGGGCCCCCGUCAAUUCCUUUGAGUUUUAGCCUUGCGGCCGUACUCCCCAGGCGGGGCGCUUAAUGCGUUAGCUACGGCACAGAGACCGUGAACCAGUCCCCACACCUAGCGCCCAACGUUUACAGCGUGGACUAC
rnacentral:misc_RNA from 1 species